UACGGAGGGGGCUAGCGUUGUUCGGAAUUACUGGGCGUAAAGCGCACGUAGGCGGCUUUGUAAGUUAGAGGUGAAAGCCCGGGGCUCAACUCCGGAAUUGCCUUUAAGACUGCAUCGCUAGAAUUGUGGAGAGGUAAGUGGAAUUCCGAGUGUAGAGGUGAAAUUCGUAGAUAUUCGGAAGAACACCAGUGGCGAAGGCGACUUACUGGACAAAUAUUGACGCUGAGGUGCGAAAGCGUGGGGAGCAAACAGG
rnacentral:rRNA from 1 species